rnacentral:rRNA from 1 species
ACAUACAGGUACCCCUAGCAAACGGCGAGUGAAGCGGGAAGAGCUCAAAUUUGAAAUCUGGUAGCCUUCGGUUGCCCGAGUUGUAAUCUAGAGAAGUGUUUUCCGUGCCGGCCCAUGUACAAGUCCCUUGGAACAGGGCGUCAUAGAGGGUGAGAAUCCCGUCCUUGACAUGGACCCCCGGUGCUUUGUGAUACACUUUCAACGAGUCGAGUUGUUUGGGAAUGCAGCUCAAAAUGGGUGGUGAAUUCCAUCUAAAGCUAAAUAUUGGCGAGAGACCGAUAGCGAACAAGUACCGUGAGGGAAAGAUGAAAAGCACUUUGGAAAGAGAGUUAAACAGUACGUGAAAUUGUUGAAAGGGAAACGAUUGAAGUCAGUCAUGCUCUUGGGACUUACCUCCCUUGAGUGGGGUCAACAUCAGUUUUGAUCGAUGGAUAAAGGCACGAGGAAGGUAGCACUCUCGGGUGAACUUAUAGCCUCGCGUCAUAUACAUUGAUUGGGACUGAGGAACGCAGCAUGCCUUAUGGCCGGGAUUCGUCCACGUACAUGCUUAGGAUGUUGACAUAAUGGCUUUAAACGACCCGUCUUAAAAAACGGACCAAAUUUUUCUAGAGACUUUUUUUU